UGAAGUUAAAGNCAUUGGCUCAACCAAUGUAUGCUUUGGAAACUGUUAGACUUGAGUGCAGAAGGGGAGAGUGGAAUUCCAUGUGUAGCGGUGAAAUGCGUAGAUAUAUGGAGGANCACCGGUGGCGAAAGCGGCUCUCUGGUCUGUCACUGACGCUGAGGCUCGAAAGCGUGGGUAGCGAACAGGAUUAGAUACCCUGGUAGUNCACGCCGUAAACGCUGAGUGCUAGGUGUUAGGUCCUUUCCGGGACUUAGUGCCGACGCUAACGCAUUAAGCACUCCGCCUGGGGAGUACGACCGCAAGGUUGAAACUCAAAGGAAUUGACGGGGGCCCGCACAAGCGGUGGAGCAUGUGGUUUAAUUCGAAGCAACGCGAAGAACCUUACCAGGUCUUGACAUCCCGAUGCCCGCUCUAGAGAUAGAGUUUUUCUUCGGAACAUCGGAGACAGGUGGUGCAUGGUUGUCGUCAGCUCGUGUCGUGAGAUGUUGGGUUAAGUCCCGCAACGAGCGCAACCCUUAUUGUUAGUUGCCAUCAUUAAGUUGGGCACUCUAGCGAGACUGCCGGUAAUAAACCGGAGGAAGGUGGGGAUGACGUCAAAUCAUCAUGCCCCUUAUGACCUGGGCUACACACGUGCUACAAUGGUUGGUACAACGAGUCGCAAGCCGGUGACGGCAAGCUAAUCUCUGAAAGCCAAUCUCAGUUCGGAUUGUAGGCUGCAA
rnacentral:rRNA from 1 species